AGCCUUGAGGUGUUUACAUACGAGAUUGCAAAUCUUGAGUUGCCGAUUGACACGGCCGGGGCUU